rnacentral:rRNA from 1 species
AAUUCGAUUAACGCGAAGAACCUUACCUGGUCUGGACAUCCUACUGAAUAGUUAUGUAAUGUAAUUAGUCUUCGGACAGUAGAGGCAGGUGGUGCAUGGUUGUCGUCAGCUCGUGCCGUGAGGUGUUGGGUUAAGUCCCGCAACGAGCGCAACCCCUACCGUCUGUUGCCAGCGCGUCAAGGCGGGCACUCAGGCGGAACUGCCGGCGACAAGCCGGAGGAAGGCGGGGACGACGUCAAGUCAUCAUGGCCCUUAUGUCCAGGGCUACACACGUGCUGCAAUGGCCGCCACAGAGCGGAGCGAAGCGGCGACGCGGAGCGAAGCGCAAAAAAGCGGCCUCAGUCCGGAUCGGAGUCUGAAACCCGACUCCGUGAAGUUGGAAUCGCUAGUAAUCGCGCAUCAGCACGGCGCGGUGAAUACGUUCCCGGGUCUUGUACACACCG